GUCAUGUUACGACUUUGGAUUUCUCUUACUGGGAUUCAAAACUGACCAUGGAAAAGAGUUUUCAAUGGUGUCCAAUAUUCAGCAAACUUACAAACCUGACUCUUGAUUGUUCCUUUGUGAACGAGGACUUUUAUGGACUGAUAGUUUUCCUUCAGAACUCACCCAAUCUACAGAAGCUAACUCUCUCAGUAGAUAAGAGUGAUACUGCAAUUGCUGGUGAGCUAGAGGACAGAUCAUUUACAUGUGAGCAGCUUCAGAUUGUUGAAAUCAGAUGCUGGGGAUCAAGUGAGAUGCUAUCCAGGGUG